rnacentral:rRNA from 1 species
UACGUAGGGUGCGAGCGUUGUCCGGAAUUACUGGGCGUAAAGAGCUCGUAGGUGGUUUGUCGCGUUGUUCGUGAAAUCUCACGGCUUAACUGUGAGCGUGCGGGCGAUACGGGCAGACUAGAGUACUGCAGGGGAGACUGGAAUUCCUGGUGUAGCGAGUGAAUGCGCAGAUAUCAGGAGGAACACCGGUGGCGAAGGCGGGUCUCUGGGCAGUAACUGACGCUGAGGAGCGAAAGCGUGGGGAGCGAACAGG